rnacentral:rRNA from 1 species
UACGUAGGGUGCGAGCGUUAAUCGGAAUUACUGGGCGUAAAGCGUGCGCAGGCGGUUCGUUGUGUCCGGUGUGAAAGCCCCGAGCUUAACUUGGGAAUGGCAUUGGUGACUGCACGGCUAGAGUGUGUCAGAGGGGGGUAGAAUUCCACGUGUAGCAGUGAAAUGCGUAGAGAUGUGGAGGAAUACCGAUGGCGAAGGCAGCCCCCUGGGAUAACACUGACGCUCAUGCACGAAAGCGUGGGGAGCAAACAGG